rnacentral:rRNA from 1 species
UACGUAGGGUGCAAGCGUUAAUCGGAAUUACUGGGCGUAAAGCGUGCGCAGGCGGUUAUGUAAGACAGAUGUGAAAUCCCCGGGCUCAACCUGGGAACUGCAUUUGUGACUGCAUGGCUAGAGUGCGGCAGAGGGGGAUGGAAUUCCGCGUGUAGCAGUGAAAUGCGUAGAUAUGCGGAGGAACACCGAUGGCGAAGGCAAUCCCCUGGGCCUGCACUGACGCUCAUGCACGAAAGCGUGGGGAGCAAACAGG